rnacentral:rRNA from 1 species
CCUACGGGAGGCAGCAGUAAGGAAUAUUGGUCAAUGGGCGCAAGCCUGAACCAGCCAUGCCGCGUGCAGGAAGACGGCCCUAUGGGUUGUAAACUGCUUUUGAACAAGAGAAAACCUCGGUACGUGUACCGAGCUGAUAGUAUUGUUAGAAUAAGCAUCGGCUAACUUCGUGCCAGCAGCCGCGGUAAGACGAAGGAUGCAAGCGUUAUCCGGAUUCAUUGGGUUUAAAGGGUGCGUAGGCGGCCUGAUAAGUCAGUGGUGAAAUCUCUCAGCUUAACUGAGAAACUGCCAUUGAUACUGUCGGGCUUGAGUACAGAUGAUGUGGGCGGAAUAUGACAUGUAGUGGUGAAAUACUUAGAUAUGUCAUAGAACACCGAUUGCGAAGGCAGCUCACAAAACUGUAACUGACGCUGAGGCACGAAAGUGCGGGGAUCAAACAGGAUUAGAUACCCUGGUAGUCCGCACCGUAAACGAUGAUUACUCGUUGUUGGCAAUAUGACCGUCAGCGACCAAGCGAAAGCGAUAAGAAUCCACCUGGGAGUACGCCGGCAACGGUGAAACGUCAAAGAGAGUUAGAGNGNGAGAGNGCGAGGCGACGACGAGGGAGAGG